UACGAAGGGGGCUAGCGUUGUUCGGAUUCAUUGGGCGUAAAGGGUGUGUAGGUGGCGCCGUAAGUCGGGUGUGAAAUUUCGGAGCUUAACUCCGAAACUGCAUUCGAUACUGCGGUGCUUGAGGACUGGAGAGGAGACUGGAAUUCAUGGUGUAGCAGUGAAAUGCGUAGAGAUCAUGAGGAAGACCAGUGGCGAAGGCGGGUCUCUGGACAGUUCCUGACACUGAGACACGAAGGCCAGGGGAGCAAACGGG
rnacentral:rRNA from 1 species